UACAGAGGGUGCAAGCGUUGUUCGGAAUUAUUGGGCGUAAAGCGCGUGUAGGCGGCUUUGCAAGUCGGGUGUGAAAGCCCUCAGCUUAACUGAGGAAGUGCGCCCGAAACUGCAUAGCUUGAGUACCGGAGAGGGUGGCGGAAUUCCCCAAGUAGAGGUGAAAUUCGUAGAUAUGGGGAGGAACACCAGUGGCGAAGGCGGCCACCUGGACGGAUACUGACGCUGAGGCGCGAAAGCGUGGGUAGCAAACAGG
rnacentral:rRNA from 1 species